UACCAUGAGCAUGAAACCGAUGCGUUCCACCGGCAUAACAGGCCAGUCUUCCAGCCGAGGAACGUGCGUCACACCAAAGACAUACCUGCACAUAAUUGCCAACAUAAUCCGGUUUCAUAAGGCUAAAAUACC